CUAUGAUUUCGCAAAGAAUUCAUGGCGUAAGGAG
rnacentral:ncRNA from 1 species